rnacentral:rRNA from 1 species
UGCAGUCGAACGGAGAAUCAGCAAUGAUUCUUAGUGGCGAACGGGUGAGUAACGCGUAGACAACCUGCCUUCUAGAUGGGGACAACACUGCGAAAGUGGUGCUAAUACCGAAUGUUGUAUUAAGCCUGCAUGGGCUUGAUACUAAAGGUGGCCUCUAUUUAUAAGCUAUCACUAGAAGAUGGGUCUGCGUCUGAUUAGCUAGUUGGUGAGGUAAUGGCUCACCAAGGCGAUGAUCAGUAGCCGGUCUGAGAGGAUGAACGGCCACACUGGGACUGAGACACGGCCCAGACUCCUACGGGAGGCAGCAGUGGGGAAUCUUCCGCAAUGGACGAAAGUCUGACGGAGCAACGCCGCGUGAGUGAAGAAGGUUUUCGGAUCGUAAAGCUCUGUCUUUGAGGACGAAUGUGUCUAAUGUGAAUAAUGUUAGAUAAUGACGGUACUCGAGGAGGAAGCCACGGCUAACUACGUGCCAGCAGCCGCGGUAAUACGUAGGUGGCAAGCGUUGUCCGGAAUUAUUGGGCGUAAAGCGCGCGCAGGCGGGAUAUUAAGUCUGUUUUAAAAGUUCGGGGCUCAACCCCGUGAUGGAAUGGAAACUAAUAUUCUUGAGUGCAGGAGAGGAAAGUGGAAUUCCCAGUGUAGCGGUGAAAUGCGUAGAUAUUGGGAGGAACACCAGUGGCGAAGGCGAC